UACGGAGGGUGCAAGCGUUAUCCGGAUUCACUGGGUUUAAAGGGUGCGUAGGUGGGUUGGUAAGUCAGUGGUGAAAUCUCCGUGCUUAACAUGGAAACUGCCAGUGAUACUACUGGUCUUGAAUCUUCUGGAGGUUAGCGGAAUAUGUCAUGUAGCGGUGAAAUGCUUAGAUAUGACAUAGAACACCAAUUGCGAAGGCAGCUAACUACAGGGGUAUUGACACUGAGGCACGAAAGCGUGGGGAUCAAACAGG
rnacentral:rRNA from 1 species